rnacentral:rRNA from 1 species
AAUAGAUACCCCGGUAGUCCACGCCGUAAACGAUGAGUGCUAAGUGUUAGAGGGUUUCCGCCCUUUAGUGCUGCAGCUAACGCAUUAAGCACUCCGCCUGGGGAGUACGGCCGCAAGGCUGAAACUCAAAGGAAUUGACGGGGGCCCGCACAAGCGGUGGAGCAUGUGGUUUAAUUCGAAGCAACGCGAAGAACCUUACCAGGUCUUGACAUCCUCUGCCAACCCUAGAGAUAGGGUGUUCCCCUUCGGGGGACAGAGUGACAGGUGGUGCAUGGUUGUCGUCAGCUCGUGUCGUGAGAUGUUGGGUUAAGUCCCGCAACGAGCGCAACCCUUGAUCUUAGUUGCCAGCAUUUAGUUGGGCACUCUAAGGUGACUGCCGGUGACAAACCGGAGGAAGGUGGGGAUGACGUCAAAUCAUCAUGCCCCUUAUGACCUGGGCUACACACGUGCUACAAUGGAUGGUACAAAGAGCUGCGAACCCGCGAGGGUAAGCGAAUCUCAUAAAGCCAUUCUCAGUUCGGA